GGGGGGGGGGGGCGGGGGGGGGGGGGGGGGGGGGGCGGGGGGGCAGGGGGGGAGGGGGCGCCUCUGACGGGAGCGGCGGACGGGGGGGUAACACGUGGAUAACCUACCUAUAAGACUGGGAUAACUUCGGGAAACCGGAGCUAAUACCGGAUAAUAUAUUGAACCGCAUGGUUCAAUAGUGAAAGACGGUUUUGCUGUCACUUAUAGAUGGAUCCGCGCCGCAUUAGCUAGUUGGUAAGGUAACGGCUUACCAAGGCAACGAUGCGUAGCCGACCUGAGAGGGUGAUCGGCCACACUGGAACUGAGACACGGUCCAGACUCCUACGGGAGGCAGCAGUAGGGAAUCUUCCGCAAUGGGCGAAAGCCUGACGGAGCAACGCCGCGUGAGUGAUGAAGGUCUUCGGAUCGUAAAACUCUGUUAUUAGGGAAGAACAAAUGUGUAAGUAACUAUGCACGUCUUGACGGUACCUAAUCAGAAAGCCACGGCUAACUACGUG
rnacentral:rRNA from 1 species